AAGUAUUUAAUAAGCUCAUUUGGGAAAGAAAUUUUGAAUCUUCUCUCCUCUGAAUUCAGCUUGUUAUAAUAGCUGCAUUGAUGAAUAAUCAACAUUCCGUCCUCCUUUCUUCCCAGAAUUUUAGGGUAUCUCUGUGGAGAUCUUGAGAUAUGUUUGUAUAAGGCAGACUAUCAGCUCCUAUGUGUGGUGUAUGGUUGUGGAUGAAGAAAGCCUCCACAGGCAGGAUGAAUAAUUCAAACACAACCUAACUAAAGGACAUCCCUUCGACCUCAAAUUCUGAAUUAAUAAAAGGGAAAAAAACAUGUAUUUGACAUGGGAGCCCUGAUAUUAAGAAUCCAGAAUUUAUUUAGGAAUGCAAUAAGCCUAGCCAAAAGUUGGCAUUUCUGAGCUUCAUCAAGCAAGUGGCUACAUCCUGACUGAUGAUAUGGGCUAGAGGGAAACAAAAAAGCUGCAAGAAGGAAAACGGACUUAUACCUACCAACUUGCAUUCUGUUCCGGUCAACAAUAUCCCAGAAAUGACUUCAUGCUGUGAAAUUGGCUCUUAUCUCCAAAAUUUCACUGGUACUCCCAGAACCAGCUUCAUAUACCCACUUAGAGAAAUAAAGGAGAAUAUAAAAUGUAAGUAAGUUUGGAGUAAUUUCCACUACUGAAGCAAAG
rnacentral:lncRNA from 1 species